rnacentral:rRNA from 1 species
ACGGGCAAGUGGUGUUUCCAGUGGCGAACGGGUGAGUAAUGCGUAAGUAACCUGCCCUUGGGUAGGGGUAACAACAGCUGGAAACAGUUGCUAAUACCCUAUAGAAUUUAGUACCUCUACGAGGUAGGCUGAGGAGCAAAAGGGAGGAAUCCGCCCAAGGAGGGGCUCACGUCUGAUUAGCUAGUUGGUGAGGCAAUGGCUUACCAAGGCUCCGAUCAGUAGUUGGUCUGAGAGGAUGAUCAGCCACACUGGGACUGAGACACGGCCCAGACUCCUACGGGAGGCAGCAGUGAGGAAUUUUCCGCAAUGGGCGAAAGCCUGACGGAGCAAUGCCGCGUGAAGGAAGAAGGCUCACGGGUCGUAAACUUCUUUUCUCGGAGAAGAAUAAAUGACGGUAUCUGAGGAAUAAGCAUCGGCUAACUCUGUGCCAGCAGACGC